rnacentral:tRNA from 1 species
GGAGGGUAUAGCUCAGUGGUAGAGUGCUUGCUUAGCAUGUAUGAGGUCCUGGGUUCAAUCCCCAGUGCCUCCA